rnacentral:lncRNA from 1 species
CCCUAUUUAAGUAAUUCACACGAGCACUACAUACGAGUAUAUAUGUAUGACUGUUAAUUGUUGCUGAUUCCACAUGAUUUACCUUUUGCUUCUAAUGAACUUUGAGUUCACACAAAAAAAGGGUAUUGUCCGCAUAUGUAUUUUUCUUAUACAGAUUUGUUUUUCCUUUUGUUUUGGUUUUGUGAUUUCUUUUUAUUUGCCAUCGGAUCAUGCAUUUGCCUGCUUCUUAUGUGUGUUAUGCCCUGGAUAACGCAACAAUUAAUAGUAUAAUAAUUCAAUAAUAGAGAGGGGUAGAGCAAAUUGUGUAGUAUGUACAAAUCAGAAUAUAUCUAAAUGAAAAUGCCAAAAGUACUGCGCUCAAAGCAUAAUUAUC